ACCGGGCACAGUGGUGCAUGCCUGUUAUCCUAACAACUCGGAGGCUGAGUCAGGAGGAUGGCAAAUAUGAGACCAGCCUCGGCAACUUAGCAAGAUUCUGUCUCAA
rnacentral:sRNA from 1 species